UGCCCUACGGGGGGCAGCAGUGGGGAAUAUUGCACAAUGGGGGAAACCCUGAUGCAGCAACGCCGCGUGAGUGAAGAAGUAUCUCGGUAUGUAAAGCUCUAUCAGCAGGGAAGAAAAUGACGGUACCUGACUAAGAAGCCCCGGCUAACUACGUGCCAGCAGCCGCGGUAAUACGUAGGGGGCAAGCGUUAUCCGGAUUUACUGGGUGUAAAGGGCGUGUAGGCGGGCCUGCAAGUCAGAAGUGAAAUCUGGGGGCUUAACCCCCAAACUGCUUUUGAAACUGUGGGUCUUGAGUGAUGGAGAGG
rnacentral:rRNA from 1 species